rnacentral:lncRNA from 1 species
AUCCAUCAGUUUGCCCUGCCUUUAACCAGAAGAUAGUUGAAGGAACGUGAUGGAAUCAAGUAAAUCCAAGCUGGAAAUCUCCAGUGAGAGGAGACAGUAGGAAAACUAAGAGGAACAGAGAAAGAAGUGCUGACUGUCAAACCCUUCGGUGGGUUUCUCUUCUUUGUGUCCAGAAAUCUGGAAGGCAGGGGAAGCAGAGCCGGUACGCUGCGCUCAGAGCGAGCCUCCUCUUGAUGGGCUGUUGAAAUAUGAAGUCCAUAAAUCACUGGAUAAUGUCACAUCCACUGCGGUGUCUGUCCUGUUCAGCCUCAGCGAUCGCCCUGCCCGGCACGGAGGGAGCGCAGGGCCCGGUGCCACUUGUGGAAGGGCAGCCCCUCCGCCUGGCACCCGGCACUGCUGCAGGAUGUGGGGCACGACGGGCAAGCAGCAGCCCAGCCCCAUGCGGGUGCGCCUCAGGACGGGGCCCGGUGCUGCGCUGUGCUUGCCGUGGUGAAACACGUGUGGGCUUCACAGCCUCCUCUCAGGAGAGGAGGCGACUAUUGAUCCGCGUGUCUCUCUUUUGUCAUUAA